GCUUUGGUAGUAUAACGGUUAGUAUAAGGCAUUCACACUGCUUAGAUCGGGGUUCGUUUCCCCGCCAGAGUA